rnacentral:rRNA from 1 species
GGGAUAACACUUGGAAACAGGUGCUAAUACCGCAUAACCAUAGUUACCGCAUGGUAACUAUGUAAAAGGUGGCUAUGCUACCGCUUUUGGAUGGGCCCGCGGCGCAUUAGCUAGUUGGGGGGGUAAAGGCUUACCAAGGCAAUGAUGCGUAGCCGAACUGAGAGGUUGAUCGGCCACAUUGGGACUGAGACACGGCCCAAACUCCUACGGGAGGCAGCAGUAGGGAAUCUUCCACAAUGGGCGAAAGCCUGAUGGAGCAACGCCGCGUGGGUGAAGAAGGUCUUCGGAUCGUAAAACCCUGUUGUUAGAGAAGAAAGUGCGUGAGAGUAACUGUUCACGUUUCGACGGUAUCUAACCAGAAAGCCACGGCUAACUACGUGCCAGCAGCCGCGGUAAUACGUAGGUGGCAAGCGUUAUCCGGAUUUAUUGGGCGUAAAGGGAACGCAGGCGGUCUUUUAAGUCUGAUGUGAAAGCCUUCGGCUUAACCGGAGUAGUGCAUUGGAAACUGGGAGACUUGAGUGCAGAAGAGGAGAGUGGAACUCCAUGUGUAGCGGUGAAAUGCGUAGAUAUAUGGAAGAACACCAGUGGCGAAAGCGGCUCUCUGGUCUGUAACUGACGCUGAGGUUCGAAAGCGUGGGUAGCAAACAGGAUUAGAUACCCUGGUAGUCCACGCCGUAAAC